rnacentral:rRNA from 1 species
CCCUUAGAUGUUCUGGGCCGCACGCGCGCUACACUGACGAAUGCAACGAGCUUAUAACCUUGGCCGAAAGGUCUGGGUAAUCUCCAAAUUUCGUCGUGAUGGGGAUAGAUUAUUGUAAUUAUUAAUCUUCAACGAGGAAUGCCUAGUAAGCGCAAGUCAUCAGCUUGCGUUGAUUACGUCCCUGCCCUUUGUACACACCGCCCGUCGCUCCUACCGAUUGAAUGGUCCGGUGAAGCGCUCGGACCGCGGCCUCUUGACGGUUUUCCGUCGAUUGGCUGUGGGAAGUUCGUUAAACCUUAUCAUUUAGAGGAAGGAGAAGUCGUAACA